rnacentral:rRNA from 1 species
CGAACGGGGUCUUAGUACGGAAGUUUUCGGAUGGAAGGAUUGAGACUUAGUGGCGGACGGGUGAGUAACGCGUGGGUAACCUGCCCUGUACAGGGGGAUAACAGUUGGAAACGGCUGCUAAAACCGCAUAACAUGGAGAUACCGCAUGAUAUUUCCAUCAAAUAUUUAUAGGUACAGGAUGGGCCCGCGUCUGAUUAGCCAGUUGGCAGGGUAAUGGCCUACCAAAGCGACGAUCAGUAGCCGGCUUGAGAGAGUGACCGGCCACAUUGGGACUGAGACACGGCCCAAACUCCUACGGGAGGCAGCAGUGGGGGAUAUUGCACAAUGGGGGAAACCCUGAUGCAGCGACGCCGCGUGAGUGAAGAAGUAUUUCGGUAUGUAAAGCUCUAUCGGCAGGGAAGAAAAAAAUGACAGUACCUGACUAAGAAGCCCCGGCUAACUACGUGCCAGCAGCCGCGGUAAUACGUAGGGGGCAAGCGUUAUCCGGAUUUACUGGGUGUAAAGGGAGCGUAGGCGGCCACGCAAGUCAGAAGUGAAAACCCGGGGCUCAACCCUGGGAGUGCUUUUGAAACUGUGCGGCUAGAGUGUCGGAGGGGUAAGUGGAAUUCCUAGUGUAGCGGUGAAAUGCGUAGAUAUUAGGAGGAACACCAGUGGCGAAGGCGGCUUACUGGACGAUGACUGACGCUGAGGCUCGAAAGCGUGGGGAGCAAACAGGAUUAGAUACCCUGGUAGUCCACGCCGUA